GUUCCUGUUGCGCAAAGGAUAGUGCGUUCGACUAUCCAUUGCAAAGAUUGUGGGUUCGAUCCCACCUGGGAUG